rnacentral:lncRNA from 10 species
GCUAAGUCUUCCUGGAAAGGUUGAGAGGUUAUCUGAUGGGCAGAUUCAAGGAUUCCUGAGACAGAGGUGAGUGGAGUAGAAAUGGAAAUUAGGGAGAGCAGGAGUUACCAAGUCAAAGUUGUAUUGCAGGUGGUGGUGACACAUUUAGUGUCCCUGAAGGUAGGAUGUGUGGGAUAGAGGGCAAGAGAUGAGCUUGGGCAUGCAGAACACGGGAUGGGCUUUUUUGUCAGGACUUUAUUUGGAGAAAAUGUGGCAGUGUGACCAGAAAAAAGACUCUUCAAGAUUCCUGCCAAGAAAUGAGGAUGACCUCAACUGAGAAUUAGUGAGAAGGGAAGUGGAUGGAUUUGAAAGACAUUUAGGAAGUAGAAUGCAUUGAAUUUGGAAAUAUAAGAAAGAAAAGAAAUGAUGAUGAUGUCAAAAUUUCUUGUUGAAAGUUUAUUCAGAACAAUAAUUUUUGAGAAUUUGUUCUAUUUCAGGCACAUAGUUAGAUGUAGGGGUGUAGUGAAGUUUCUAGUCCUGUGGCCAUGCAUGUAUAUUUACGUAUGCAGAAAAUGGUGACAGAGUAUGAUAUGUGCUACAUUAUGGAUUAAUUCAGAGAUUGAAGGACACUGUUCAGUUCUAGUGUUGCUUAACAAACCACCCCAAAUUCAGGGAUAUGAAACAAUGGUUUCACCAUGCUCGUGGAUUCUCUUGGUGAUGAAUUCAGAAAGGAACUUUUGUGGCUAGUUCUCUUCUUCUUGAUGUCUGAUGCCUCACCUGGGAAAAUGUGAAUGACCCAUUAGCUGUGGGCUAAAAUCAUACAAAGUCUUAUUCACCCACAUAUCUGGCUUCUAUAUUGGAAAGACUCAAAGGCUACACCUGGGUGUCUUGACCUGGCUUGCUCACAGCAGGGAAACUUUAGAGGAGUUGGGCCCCUUAUCUGGCAGCUCAAGGCUCUGAGCACAAGUCUUUCAAUGUCCAAGGUGGCAUCACCUUUUCUGAUCUGGCAUCAAAUGACUCUGCCACAUUUUAUUAGUUACAAAUGAGUCCCAAGUCCACCCAGAUUCUAGAGGAGGGGACACAGGCUCCAUCACUCAUUGGGAGCAUUGUCAAAAUUGCAUUGUCAAAUGCAUUUGACUUGGAAGUUAUUGUUGUGGCCAUCUUUGGAAAAUAAAACCUGCCAUAGAUGCCCAACCAAACCUCAGGAUAGGCUUUGAGGAGGAAGUAGUUUUAAAGUGUUCAGGUAGAGGAAACAGCAUAUAUAAAGACCUUCGGAAGGAAAGUAAACAUACUGCAUAGAUGGUAGAUUUGAACUACAGGGAUGGAGAGAACUCAGCUUAUUAAGUAAUUCAGAGCUUGAUCACAAAGGGCCUUUCAACUCUUGCAAAAUAACUUGAACCUUGUUCAGAUGGUGCAGGGAAUCCAUGUAGGGUUUUGAGUGGUAGUGAGGGGGCAUGUUUACAUUUAUGAUUUAGGUAGAUCAUUCUUUCUGUUGGGUCUUGAGUGGUGAACCAGAGUUUUCAAAAGAGAUUGGAUAACAGAAAGAACAGGACAGAUCAUCCUAAUACAGAGUGUCCUUUGAGCUGGACUGCAGAGUACAGAAUGGAUGGGGCCAUGGUAAGAUUAGAGGUAGGGUUGUCAGGGACAAGGUGAUUGUAGCAAUUUAGCUAAAACAGAAUAGUGGCCUACACCAGGAAAAUGGCAGUAGAGUUGGAAAUAAAUGAACAUAUUUGAGAAAUAGAGCAUGCAACAGACUGCACCUGAUGAUGCUUAUGUGUGUGGGAGAAAGAGAUGAAGAGGUAGGCAUUCAAUUACUUGAGGGAGAGAAUACAGGAGGUGGAAGAGGUUGUAGUGGAAAGAAAUGAUGAGAAAAAGUUAUGUAUUUUCAAUAAUUCAGCAUCUAAUUGUGUGUGGUUGACAUGUGAAUUUUAUUAUAAACACUGAAACAUGGUGGUAUUUCUUAGAAGUGCUGUUGAACAGGUGAGAAAAUUCUCUCUUGAAAUAAAAUACACAUUUUCACAUGAAAUUGGUAAAAUACAUUCCUACUCAUUUACUUUUGAUUUGUCAGUCUUUGGCCACAAAAGCAAUAAAUGACUACAGAAAUGACCCUAUAGAAUCUGAAAAAAAUAUUCCCUCCCACCGCAGGUAUUUAGAAUUUGGCCUGAGCUACGUGGGAAAAAUUUCACUGGAAAAUCUAUGGUGAAAGAGGGACAGCUGGAGGUCACAAUUGAAGCUUUGGCCUGUGGUUUUAAAAAUCAGAAAUUUCAUCUAACUCCUUGGAAGAUUCUGGAGACUUCAAAUUGUAAUUCCCACAAACUCAAAUGAACAACCUCAUUCAUUUGCACUUGCACUUCCAGAAGGAAAUACUAUUCUUGGUUAUGAAAAUACAAUUUCUCCCCUAAUGGACUGCCCUUUCUUUGUGAGCAUGCUUGCUUUUAUUAUUCUGAAAGGACAAAUGUAGUCAGGCUACAGAAUGAGAGCUGCACAUUGAUUUCAGCAGAGGAAAGAGAGCUUUGUUUCCUUAUUAUCUUUAGCUUAUAGGCAAUACACUCAUUUUUCAAGCAAAAUAAGAAUACUAUAAGACUUAUUAAAUAGGAAACUUGUGUAAAUUUUUUCUAAAUGGAAAGAAAGCCUGUGUAUAAAAGUAAUUUCUAUAAUUUUAUGUGUGCAUAUGUUACAACACACACACACAGCCUUAUGAAGUUAUUCAUUAAAUAGGUACUAAUUGAAUGUCUACCAGGUGCAAAGUAUCAUUUUCUGUGCUUGGAGAUACAGCAGUUAACACAGAAGACAUAAAUCCCUGUCCCAGGCACAAGAUGAGCUUGGAUGAAGACCGUCUUUGUAAGAAUAUUGGGAAAAAAAUGAACUUCUCUAAAUAAUUACCAUUUAAAUGAUCUUUCUAAAUCUUCCAUGAGUGGCUGAAACUAUUGAGGUAUUCAAAAACCACCUGAGCAAUUUACUGAGGUGCAGAUCCACACCUCUUUUCCAGAAAUCCUAAUGCACUUCAUCUCAGGAGGGGUCUAGAAAUCUGAGUUUUGAAGAUCCAUAGACUAAGGCACAAAUGGUCUACUAGGUAUGAGAUAUGAUAAAAUUUCCAUGUGUUGUCUCUUAUGCAAAUUCUUUUUCUUAUCAUUGUCUUUAAUAUCUUGCUACACCAGAAGAAAUCGCAGAGAACCCUGCAUGUCCCAGGACUUGAGCAUAUGGUAUUGUAAUUAUAUGGCAUUCUUAAAAACAAUCAGACAUUAUUCAUUUAUAAAAAUGAAAAUUCUUAAUUAGAAUAUUUCCAAGUACAGGUUGUUGGUCCUCAAUCAUGUGAUUAACAUGGCUGGUGUACAUUCCUUUAUAGCUGAUAUAAAUAUGUAUGCAUUUAGGUAUGAUUAUUUUCCUUUCUUAAAAGUGUCUUUGUUUAUUUUAUUUAAUUUUAUUUAUUUUUAUUUGUUUUCUUUGAGAUAGGGUCUUGCUCUGUCACCCAGGUUGGAGUGCAGUGGUGCUGUCAUGGCUCACUGCAGCCUCGACCCCCUGGGCUCAAGCAAUCGUCCAACCUCAGCAUCCCAAAUAGCUAGGAUCACAGGUGCAUGCCACCGUGCCUGGCUAAUUUUUCUAUUUUUUGUAGACGUGGGGCUUUCCCCACGUUGCUCAGGCUAGUCUCGAACUCCUGGGUUCAAGUGAUUUGCCUGCCUAGGCCUCUCAAAGGGAUUACAGACAUGAGCCACUGCACUCAGCCAAAAGUGUCCUUGUUUAUGCUUGCGAGUGCUUGUAUGCUGAAAGGAAGAAUUAUAUAUUGAUAAUAAAUGUAAACAGCAACUACAAAUGGCUCAUAAUUUCUAAGAUCCUCUUUUUAGAACUGCAGAUUUUGAAAUGCUUGGUCUUAUGUUAAGCGCCAACUUUACCUCAGACACGGGUCAUGGGUAACUAAGGGUUGGGCAGACAAUCAAACUCUUCAAUUUCUCUCUUAUUGGUCUCUUUUCCUCCUCAGGUCCUCUUUCAAAUUGCUGCAAAAUUUUCUAUUCCCAAACACACCCUUAGAACACACUCUGCUUAAAGGAGUAUAAAGUCUCCAUGUUGCCCUUGGAUUUCACCAGCUCAGCGGUGAGGCCAAUAGCACACAGUCCUCCCAGCCUUCCAUCCCCACACUGUGCACUCUGUUCUUCAGCCAGAGGGAACUUUAUGUGGGCUCUUUGAUGCCAACAGUCAUUGUUCAAGAUCCAACCCAAAUGACAGCUGCUUUGUGGAAUCUUCCUUGAUCUUUCAUGAAGUUACUUGCUUCUCCCACCUUCAUUCCCAUUGUGAUCACUUUGUGCUUUCCUCAACAUCUCUGUCCUCUCUCAACUGGGAGCUUCCCAAGGGCAAGGGCAGCAUCUCCCCAUUCUUUAUAUCUGCCCUGGUGACUGGCAUAGUCCCUAGUCAACAGACACAUAGAUGUUAUCUGUUGAAAGGAAGGAAGAAACAAGGUAAGGGCGAAAGGAAGAGAAAGAGGACGUAGAGUUUUAAAAUAACCUUUGUUUUAACUGGAUCAUAGUGCUAUAUUAUCUGGAAUUCUUGCUGUCAAUAGUUAAAUGAACUGUUGAAGGAAUGAGAGAAGGGGCUGUUUGGGACAGAAAUAAGCUCAUUAUAUUGUUAGCACAAAAUUGGGAGACUUGAACAAUUUUAUCAUGUUUCCAAUUUUUAUCAGGACAGAAAUAAAAUGUGAAACCAAUGACAGCAGUGAGUCGGAAAAUUAAAUAUACACUAGCUGUAAAUAGACAACUUUAUAUUGUAGCAAUUAGUCAUAAUAGCACUCUUUAACUUGUGUUUGAAAAAGAUGCCUUUUUCAGUUCAGAACUUCCUUGGGUAGCUCUUUAUCUUGCCUCAUUUAUUAUAUAGUUGGGAAAGCAUUUAUAAUAUAUGAAACUUGUAGAAUAUAUAUAUGGUUUCAUAUGGAGCAUAUAUACGAGAUUUGGCAAGGACUUUUUUAACCCUAAUGAGGGAAAGGUCUUUUUAACCCUAAUGAGAGAAAAUAUACAUUAAAAUAUAGACAUAUAAGCAUGUCUUUUAAAGUGAAUGUGACAACUGUUCAGUUCCACAGACUUGGAAUAGGCAGAGAAGAGUAAAUCUGAGAUGCUGGAAUCUGUUGUCAUAUUGGAAGGACUCAGUGGAGCCCUUGUUUAGAGGGAAUGGGGGCCUGGGAUGAAGCCCCAUCUUGGCUGCACCUUUAUCUAGCUAUUUAAGGGCUGCCAAGGGAGACACCUGUUGGAAGGGGAACAUAGACAACUGUCAGUUUUCAGAAAAGAUCUGCGUUUUUCAUUAUGUGUGGCUCCAAGAGAGACAAUAGGGGUGAUUUCAAAGCAACAAAGACGAAUUUACUUACUCUUUACCUUCCCUGGGACACAUUCUAAACUCUAACUGCAUCAUUUCCUUUCUGCUGUUGCUUUUGCCAGAGUACAUGAGUUAUGAACCUAGCUUGGUGAAAAAUGCAAUGCGAUGCUGAGGGCAAUAAUCAUUACUGAUGGAUUGAAAGCUAAUAGAUGUCUCCAGUAGUAAGAAUAAGACCUACAAGUCACUGGAACCUGUCAUGGGUAAGGGAUUUUGCUAACUACUUUACAUGUGCAGUCUCGAUUCAUAACUAUUGCAUUGCCCCAAUAAAACAGGCAUUUCUAUCCCUAUUUUUAAGGAAAUAAAUGAAGACUUUGAAAGAUUAAGUCCAUUUGUCUUUCCUCCAUCCAUUCAUUUUAUCUACUCUUUCAAAGAUUUUUAAGCAGAGUAUCUACAUUUUAAGAGACACACGU